AGAGUUUGAUCCUGGCUCAGAUUGAACGCUGGCGGCAAGCCUCAUACAUGCAAGUCGAGCGAGAACGUUACUUCGGUAGCUAGUAAAGCGGCGGACGGGUGAGUAACGCGUAGGAAUCUACCUUUCAGCGGGGGAUAGCUCGGGGAAACCCGAAUUAAUACCGCAUACACCCUAAGGGGGAAAGAGGGCCUAUCCUUGGAAGCUCUCGCUGUUAGAUGAGCCUGCGUGAGAUUAGUUUGUUGGUGGGGUAAUGGCCUACCAAGACUACGAUCUCUAGCUGGUCUGAGAGGACGAUCAGCCACACUGGGACUGAGACACGGCCCAGACUCCUACGGGAGGCAGCAGUAGGGAAUAUUGGACAAUGGGGGCAACCCUGAUCCAGCUAUGCCGCGUGUGUGAAGAAGGCUCUAGGGUUGUAAAGCACUUUAGGUAAGGACGAAAAGAAUAUAGUUAAUACCUAUAUUCCGUGACUUAACUUACAGAAUAAGGACCGGCUAACUCCGUGCCAGCAGCCGCGGUAAUACGGAGGGUCCAAGCGUUAAUCGGAAUUACUGGGCGUAAAGCGCGCGUAGGCGGUUUGUCAAGUUGGAUGUGAAAUCCCUGGGCUCAACCUAGGAACUGCAUUCAAAACUUAUAGACUAGAGUACGAUAGAGGAGAGUAGAAUUCCUGGUGUAGCGGUGAAAUGCGUAGAUAUCAGGAGGAAUACCAAUGGCGAAGGCAACUCUCUGGAUCGACACUGACGCUGAGGUGCGAAAGCGUGGGUAGCAAACAGGAUUAGAUACCCUGGUAGUCCACGCCGUAAACGAUGAGAACUAGCCGUUGGAUCUUAGAUUCAGUGGUACAGCUAACGCAUUAAGUUCUCCG
rnacentral:rRNA from 1 species